AUACGGAGGGUGCAAGCGUUGUUCGGAAUUACUGGGCGUAAAGCGCGUGUAGGCGGUCGGGCAAGUCGAAUGUGAAAUCCCCGGGCUCAACCCGGGAAUUGCAUCCGAAACUGCUUGGCUAGAGUCCCGGAGAGGAAGGCAGAAUUCCCAGUGUAGGGGUGAAAUCCGUAGAUAUUGGGAGGAAUACCAGUGGCGAAGGCGGCCUUCUGGACGGUGACUGACGCUGAGACGCGAAAGCGUGGGGAGCAAACAGGAUUAGAAACCCCAGUAGUCC
rnacentral:rRNA from 1 species